rnacentral:rRNA from 1 species
AAAUUGAACUCGCUGUGAAGAUGCAGUGUACCCGCGGCAAGACGGAAAGACCCCGUGAACCUUUACUAUAGCUUGACACUGAACAUUGAGCCUUGAUGUGUAGGAUAGGUGGGAGGCUUUGAAGUGUGGACGCCAGUCUGCAUGGAGCCGGCCUUGAAAUACCACCCUUUAAUGUUUGAUGUUCUAACGUUGACCCGUGAUCCGGGUUGCGGACAGUGUCUGGUGGGUAGUUUGACUGGGGCGGUCUCCUCCUAAAGAGUAACGGAGGAGCACGAAGGUUGGCUAAUCCUGGUCGGACAUCAGGAGGUUAGUGCAAUGGCAUAAGCCAGCUUGACUGCGAGCGUGACGGCGCGAGCAGGUGCGAAAGCAGGUCAUAGUGAUCCGGUGGUUCUGAAUGGAAGGGCCAUCGCUCAACGGAUAAAAGGUACUCCGGGGAUAACAGGCUGAUACCGCCCAAGAGUUCAUAUCGACGGCGGUGUUUGGCACCUCGAUGUCGGCUCAUCACAUCCUGGGGCUGAAGUAGGUCCCAAGGGUAUGGCUGUUCGCCAUUUAAAGUGGUACGCGAGCUGGGUUUAGAACGUCGUGAGACAGUUCGGUCCCUAUCUGCCGUGGGCGCUGGAGAACUGAGGGGGGCUGCUCCUAGUACGAGAGGACCGGAGUGGACGCAUCACUGGUGUUCGGGUUGUCAUGCCAAUGGCACUGCCCGGUAGCUAAAUGCGGAAGAGAUAAGUGCUGAAAGCAUCUAAGCACGAAACUUGCCCCGAGAUGAGUUCUCCCUGACUCCUUGAGAGUCCUGAAGGAACGUUGAAGACGACGACGUUGAUAGGCCGGGUGUGUAAGCGCAGCGAUGCGUUGAGCUAACCGGUACUAAUGAACCGUGAGG